AGUCGAGCGUGCAAAGUUAAAGGAACACUUCGGUAGGAAUUUAAUAGCGCGAGCGGCGGAUGGGUGAGUAACACGUGGGCAAUCUACCCUUUAGCUUGGGAUACCACUUGGAAACAGGUGCUAAUACCAAAUAAGAAGUAAGAGCGCAUGCUCAAGCUAUGAAAGGCGGCUUUCGAGCUGUCACUAAAGGAUGAGCCCGCGGUGCAUUAGCUAGUUGGUAAGGUAACGGCUUACCAAGGCAAUGAUGCAUAGCCGAGUUGAGAGACUGAUCGGCCACAUUGGGACUGAGACACGGCCCAAACUCCUACGGGAGGCAGCAGUAGGGAAUCUUCCACAAUGGACGCAAGUCUGAUGGAGCAACGCCGCGUGAGUGAAGAAGGUUUUCGGAUCGUAAAGCUCUGUUGCUGGUGAAGAAGGACAUGGAUAGUAACUGAUCUAUGUUUGACGGUAAUCAACCAGAAAGUCACGGCUAACUACGUGCCAGCAGCCGCGGUAAUACGUAGGUGGCAAGCGUUGUCCGGAUUUAUUGGGCGUAAAGCGAACGCAGGCGGGAGAACAAGUCAGCUGUGAAAGCCCUCGGCUUAACCGAGGAACGGCAACUGAAACUGUUUUUCUUGAGUGCAGAAGAGGAGAGUGGAACUCCAUGUGUAGCGGUGAAAUGCGUAGAUAUAUGGAAGAACACCAGUGGCGAAGGCGGCUCUCUGGUCUGUAACUGACGCUGAGGUUCGAAAGCAUGGGUAGCGAACAGGAUUAGAUACCCUGGUAGUCCAUGCCGUAAACGAUGAGUGCUAAGUGUUGGGAGGUUUCCGCCUCUCAGUGCUGCAGCUAACGCAUUAAGCACUCCGCCUGGGGAGUACGACCGCAAGGUUAAAACUCAAAGGAAUUGAC
rnacentral:rRNA from 1 species